CCUCAACCAACCGAGUCACCCAGGUGCCCCUAUAUAGUUGUCUUUCAAACCAGGGAAGUCGGUGUAUAUACAAGUGACUUCCACGUCUGUGAUCUUCAACUGUUUUGUCCCAAAAAGGACUUUGAAAAAUAUGUACCCUUUACACCUUGACUACUAAAAUGGGUGCCAAGACCAUUUAAUGGGAAAAGAAAAGUCUCUACAACAAAUCGUGCUGGGACAACUGGACAUCUGCAUGUAAAAGAAUGAAGUUGCACCCCUACUUCGCCCCACAUACAGAAGCCAGCUCAACAUGGGUUAUCCAGCAGCCUGGAACUCAUUGACAAGUCCUUGAAACCAGCAGAGUGACUUCCCACCAGGAGCUCAGCUGCGUCGAUGAUGAACACUUUGCUGGGCGCAAACGAGAACCUUAGCUUGACAUUGUCCCAACCUCAAGGAUCAUGAGGUACAAUACCAGCCUUAACCUGGAACACCUUUGUAUGACCUCCCCCCUGGAGUUAAUGAACUCAGCCUCUGGGAAAACGCCUUGGUUCCGAGGAGCGAAUCUAGUGAAUGGCAGACAGCAAGUCCUGCGGGUGAACACGCAAGGGUCUCUCCUUUCAUCUGCGACUCACUGUAGAUGGCAGGCAGAACUGUCCGGGCAGAGGGAGACCAGGGUGGCUGCCUGUUCCAGUAGAGACUGGGGCCCAGUGCCUUUGUCUAAGGCUCUGCUGAUGCCCCUUGUACCCUUCUAUCAUGAGGGUGAGAGGUCAUGGGCAAGACACCUCCUACACAAGGGGAGGAGGGAAGGCCUGAGUGUGGGCUGUGUGUCCACAGCUUCUCCCUGCCCACAUUCAACUCCCAUCCCAGCUUUGGAGUCUCUCAGUCAUCCAGUUUAAACCCCCUUAGGUGAAACAGGGAGACGCCUCCCUGCUUCCUGGCACAUAAUAGCUGCUUAAUAACUGUUGGUGGCAUUGAA